rnacentral:rRNA from 1 species
UACGUAGGGUGCGAGCGUUGUCCGGAAUUAUUGGGCGUAAAGAGCUCGUAGGCGGCUUGUCGCGUCGGAUGUGAAAGCCCGGGGCUUAACUCCGGGUCUGCAUUCGAUACGGGCAGGCUAGAGUGUGGUAGGGGAGACUGGAAUUCCUGGUGUAGCGGUGAAAUGCGCAGAUAUCAGGAGGAACACCGAUGGCGAAGGCAGGUCUCUGGGCCGAUACUGACGCUGAGGAGCGAAAGCGUGGGGAGCGAACAGG